rnacentral:rRNA from 1 species
GACGAACGCUGGCGGCGUGCCUAAUACAUGCAAGUAGAACGCUGAAGAGAGGAGCUUGCUCUUCUUGGAUGAGUUGCGAACGGGUGAGUAACGCGUAGGUAACCUGCCUUGUAGCGGGGGAUAACUAUUGGAAACGAUAGCUAAUACCGCAUAACAAUGGAUGACACAUGUCAUUUAUUUGAAAGGGGCAAUUGUUCCACUACAAGAUGGACCUGCGUUGUAUUAGCUAGUAGGUGAGGUAAUGGCUCACCUAGGCGACGAUACAUAGCCGACCUGAGAGGGUGAUCGGCCACACUGGGACUGAGACACGGCCCAGACUCCUACGGGAGGCAGCAGUAGGGAAUCUUCGGCAAUGGGGGCAACCCUGACCGAGCAACGCCGCGUGAGUGAAGAAGGUUUUCGGAUCGUAAAGCUCUGUUGUAAGUCAAGAACGGGUGUGAGAGUGGAAAGUUCACACUGUGACGGUAGAUUACCAGAAAGGGACGGCUAACUACGUG